rnacentral:misc_RNA from 1 species
AUCUGAAGAAACUUUUCAGGAGAAAGCAUUCCAAGAACAUGUUUCUUAUCAUUAAUCUUCGCAUAAAGGAAAACAGAUUCAUUUCCUUUAUCCUUCUUCACCUCGCCUAGACAAGCCUGUGAAAGAUGCAAGAUGAAGUCACCACCAAUUUCAAUCACUAGAGGCUCCCCACUUUUGACCUCAGUACCCCAAAACUCCAUUGUUUCUGUGCAGAGAGUAUGAUUGAUCUUCUAGAAGUGAGCGACUGAAAUGAUA